AGGAUUAACGCUGGCGGCGUGCCUAACACAUGCAAGUCGAACGAGGUAGCAAUACCUAGUGGCAGACGGGUGAGUAACGCGUGGUCAACCUACCGUUGAGUGGGGGAUAACUAGCCGAAAGGUUAGCUAAUACCGCAUACGAGUCUCGGGGGCAUCCCUGAGCCUUAAAAGGAGCAAUCCGCUCGAUGACGGGACCGCGUCCCAUUAGCUAGAUGGUGGGGUAACGGCCUACCAUGGCACCGAUGGGUAGCUGGUUUGAGAGAGCGACCAGCCACACUGGGACUGAGAAACGGCCCAGACUCCUACGGGAGGCAGCAGUGAGGAAUUUUCCGCAAUGGGCGAAAGCCUGACGGAGCGACGCCGCGUGUGGGAAGAAGGCCUUCGGGUCGUAAACCACUGUCGAAGGGACGAUAAUGACGGUACCUUGGAGGAAGCCCGGCUAACUACGUGCCAGCAGCCGC
rnacentral:rRNA from 1 species